GCCCUCGUAUCCCAAUUGGCAGAGGAAACGGAUUCAAACCCCGUCCAGUGUGAGUUCGAGUCUCACCGAGGGCACCA
rnacentral:tRNA from 1 species